rnacentral:rRNA from 1 species
GACGAACGCUGGCGGCGUGCCUAAUACAUGCAAGUCGAACGCUUCUUUCCUCCCGAGUGCUUGCACUCAAUUGGAAAGAGGAGUGGCGGACGGGUGAGUAACACGUGGGUAACCUACCCAUCAGAGGGGGAUAACACUUGGAAACAGGUGCUAAUACCGCCUAACAGUUUAUGCCGCAUGGCAUAAGAGUGAAAGGCGCUUUCGGGUGUCGCUGAUGGAUGGACCCGCGGUGCAUUAGCUAGUUGGUGAGGUAACGGCUCACCAAGGCCACGAUGCAUAGCCGACCUGAGAGGGUGAUCGGCCACACUGGGACUGAGACACGGCCCAGACUCCUACGGGAGGCAGCAGUAGGGAAUCUUCGGCAAUGGACGAAAGUCUGACCGAGCAACGCCGCGUGAGUGAAGAAGGUUUUCGGAUCGUAAAACUCUGUUGUUAGAGAAGAACAAGGACGUUAGUAACUGAACGUCCCCUGACGGUAUCUAACCAGAAAGCCACGGCUAACUACGUG